rnacentral:lncRNA from 1 species
UAUAAAAAAAUAAGUUGCAUUUUCAGAACAAAAAAUUUAUCUAUAUUAAUAUCAAAGUUUUUUCUUGCGUAAUAAAAACUAUGCAUUCAAUAGAUUUUUGUUAAAAUUUUUAAUAAUAAAACUAAAAAAAAAAAAAAAAACAACAAUAUAACUUGUUUUCUUAAUGUAGUUUCUUUUAAACAAAAAAAUUUUUAAUUUAAAAUUUUAAAAAUAAUAUUAAUUAUUACCAUUAAAUACAAAAACAUAUGCACAAAAUUGUCUAUAUAUUUUGAGUACAUUCACCCUUUCAAUAAGUUUUACACACAAGAAAAAUAUAUAUAUAUAUAUAUAUAUAUAUAUAUAUUUUGUUUUUGUAAGAAACAAAUAUAACGCAAUAAACCUUUUGAUUAUCCCACAGCUCUUUUAAAAUGUGCUGUAUGUUUUAAUGUAAGUACGCAACGAUUUAAAAAAAAAAAAAAAAAAAAAAAAAACACCACGUAAUAAAAUAUACCUUAUAUAUAUAUAUUUACGUAUACAUGUUUAUUUUUACAUGUAAAUAUCGUAUUAAUUAAACUUCACUAUACAAAAAUAUAUGUCUUUCCCUAAAUGAGAAAGUUUAAUUUUGUAAAUAUUUGCUCUUUUUAUUUUUAAGUAAGAACUUAUACAUAUUUUAAUAAAAAUAGCUACUUACUGUGUUUUUAUCCGUUUAUUUAUUUAUCUCUCUAUCUAUUUAACCAUUUUAUAAUCCCUCUUAUUUUAAUAAACUCUUUUAACCUUUAUAAUAAAGCUAUUAUUCAACAAUGAGGGAAAUAAUUUUUGUAUUACCUGUCGUGUUAUUUUUUUUUACAAGUUCUUUAACCCAAGUUAUUAAUCAGGAGAACAAUAAAAUUCCUGCGUAUAGCACUAUAGCUAAUUCAGUGCAACCUCCUCAAAUUGUUAUUGAUGUUAAUAAACAUAAAAAUGUGUAUGAUUCAAUUUUAAGAAAAAACAACAUGGAUAUUCUGGAACUAUUAAAAGAUACUACUCCAGAAGAUUAUGGAUUAAAAAUAAAAACAGAAAUUAUGAAUGCAACUGAUGAACAUGUUUUAAAUUUAUUAUUAAAUAAUGAAGAAGAUAAAUUAAAAGAAACUAAGGCAGAACAAAUUGGCCCAAUCAUAGUAGUUUUACCUCAACCCUUAUCAGAUCAGGAAUCGCUUUAUUACGACAAAUACAAAGAUCUAAUAAAAGAUGUUGAACCAACGAAGAGUUUAUUAUUGAGAGUUAUCUAUUUUGAAAAAAUUGCAACAAUUAAAAGUCAAAAUAAAAAAGAAGCUACCGAUGAAUUGGAAAAUACCAAGGAUAUAAUAAAAAAGUGUGAAUCAAGAAUAAAUGCUAUUAAAGCAAUAUUAGAUGAAAUAUCAUACAACGCAUAUGGAAAUGAAGAUAAAACUACUAAAAGAUUGAAGAGCGAAAAGGAAUUUUUAAAUCAGAAAUUAAAUGUUUUAAAUCGUAAAAUUAGAAAAUUAGAACGGAAUUAUUUCAAAAAUAUUCCUCUUUUCAAAUCUUAAAUGAUGAAAAGAAGAGAGAAAAAACACAAAAAACGUAAAAAACGUAAAAAACGUAAAAAAUGUAAAAAACGUAAAAA